CUGUCUCAAUAUCAAGUUUAUAGUUACAAUAGAUGGAUUGUCUAUUAGUAAAAAUCAAAAACAAAAAGAAACUGCUGCAUUCUAAUAUUUCCCAAUAACUCUUCCUUUUGCACCGAUUUCUUCGGCUAAAUGGCGGCGACCAAACCGUACCGUUACUCAUACAGACCGUUCAAUGGAAAUAGGAAGUAUGAUCCGUACGGUUUGUGCGAGAAAGAUCCAUCGGAAGAAUACUUAGACUAUGGUACCCAUUGGACGUCCCAACCACAACAACAGGCACACGAAAACCAGACUUUGUCUCCUAUCCAAGAAUAUCAAUACAAUGGACACCAUUCCAGUUCUCAGUCCGACUAUAGCACACAACAUCACACUUACAAACAUGCUGAACCUGUGUAUUCUUAUGGUCAGAAUAAUUCCAUUGACCAAGUUGACUUCCAACAGACUUCUGACCAACAGCCCUAUCACACCUCCACUCACUACACACACAGUCAGUUGUCCAGUUCAAAGAAGUUUAAUAGCCAGCAAUCUUUUGACCAAACUGUUUACAGACAAACAUCUAGAGACGUCCAAGUACCAUAUGACUCUCACUCCCAGACGUACGGAGCCAAACAUUCACAGAAUGACCGGUUUUAUCAAGACAAAAUGUCUAAUGGUUACCAGAAAGAGAAUUCCAGUAAUAUGACUAACCAUUCUAACCAUAUUUCUUCUGAAUAUGAAAAUUCUCAGUACCACCAUUUGGAAUCUAACCAUUCUUACCACAAUGGUACGGUGUAUCAUAAUAAUAACGAAUACAAUCAGUCGGUUCAAUAUGACACGGCGAAACCUCAAGACCGAUGGUCUAAGGCUCUUGAGCAUGCUCGUAGCUAUUAUAGAAAUAUUGCAUUGUACAAUGGACAUAAUUCUUACGACUCAACCAAUUCUGUUUAUCAGCCAAGCCACCACGACCAUCACCAUCAGGACCCCCAACAUUCUGAUCACCAUGACCAUCACCACCAAACAGCUUCAACUACAAAAAUAUCCGAUAGGAAUUUUAACCCUCGUGAAAUGUGGAGCAAGGCUAUCUACCUAGCAAGCCCCUCCCAUAACAAAUACGACCCCUAUAAAAUGACCGGUGCUUACCAGGAAUCCAGCAAAACAGAUGCAUACAAUGAGAAAUCUCAAGGGUAUGGUCAGUAUGAAGGGUUUGGUCCUAACACCACUGGUGGCCACCACCACAGCUCGGCCCUCGGCUACAAAUCUUACCAAACAAACCCAGACUCUAUGGGAGCUUUUGAGGAGAAUAAUAAUAAUUACCAUAAUUACAACAGCUCUUUGGACAAUGGUAAUUAUUAUGGAACCGAGGAUUCCAAUAUGGAGAAUGAAGACCAUCAAUCAUAUUAUGAGGUUGAUCCCAUUCUGAUUGAUUAUUUAAAGUCCCUUGCACAAGUGUAUGCCAUGGAUGAGCGGCAGCAGUUGCUAUGGGAACAAGAGAUGUACAAUCAACUGAAAUACAAGAGCCCUCGUUCAUUCUUCCACACAUUUGAAGCUGAGUGUUGUCAGGCUGGUAUAAACUUUGCCAAUGAAGAUGAAGCAGCCAAGUUUGUACAGGUCGUCCGUAGUAAAAUCCUGGAGAGGCAGAAGAAGAAGGAAGAACGGAGGAACCAGCAGAAUGCUCAACGGAACCAGCAAGGCAACAUGACCCAGAAUAACGUCACUUUGAAUAAGGCACCUUUACAGAAAACCCCGGAUACUGGAGGCUCUACGCAACAUGGUACGCUGAAGAAAUCAACAAUAAAGAAAGAGAAGAAAAAGUCCCGCCUAACAAAACAAGACAUUGGACAACCUACCAACUUCCGACAUAUUAAACACUUAGGCUGGGACCCUGACUGUAAAAAAGUAGAUAUAAAUCAGAUGGAAGAACACAUGAAACAGCUUCUGGAAUCGAUUGGUCUGGCGUCGAGCCAGGAGGUGGACAAGGAGACCCUGACGUUCAUCUACGACUUUGUCGAAAAGAACGGAGGAAUCGAUGCCGUGAAGAAGGAGAUGGACCAGAAACAGCAUCCGCCGCCCCCACCACACAGUCCCUACCACCUCGUCAUAUUGGGCCACCGACCCCAGCAAGGUCAGCUGCGCCACCACCCGUGCCUCCCAGUCGAUCCACAGCUCCCGUGCCCCCGUCUCGUUCAGUGCCUACACGAAACACCACUGCUCCCCCGCCGCCGCCGCCAGCACGCUCCAACCUCCCGCCUCCCCCAAAGGCUCCUGGCGCUCCGCCGCCUCCCCCUCCUCCCCCUCCACCGCCGCCCCCUCCUCCGCCACCCCCCAUGCAGCGGCAGCAGUCUGUGGAAGGCAGCGAUGCCGGCAGCUCGCCGUCCCAUGGCUUACCCCCGUUACCCCAACCCGGAAGGUCCGAGCCGGACGGUGGCAGGCCGAGUUCGGGCGAUUCAAAUCGAUCGGCCCUGCUGGACGAGAUCCAUCGUGGAGCACAGCUGAAGAAGGUCACCCCCAACAGCUCAUCGCAGCCGGCGUCUGAGGACAAGAGAGGCAACCUCAUGUGUGAGAUCCGCAAUAUUGGCAUGAAGAACUUGAAACCGGUGGAAGCCGGCACCCCGCAGUCCCCUGGCAUUGAGGACACUGGAAUUGUCGGAGCAUUGUCCCGAGCACUGGCCAACA
rnacentral:misc_RNA from 1 species